rnacentral:rRNA from 2 species
GGGUUGUGAGGUUAAGCGACUAAGCGUACACGGUGGAUGCCCUGGCAGUCAGAGGCGAUGAAGGACGUGCUAAUCUGCGAAAAGCGCCGGCGAGGUGAUAUGAACCUUUGACCCGGCGAUGUCCGAAUGGGGAAACCCAGUGUGUUCCGACACACUAUCGUUAACUGAAUACAUAGGUUAACGAGGCGAACCGGGGGAACUGAAACAUCUAAGUACCCCGAGGAAAAGAAAUCAACCGAGAUUCCCCCAGUAGCGGCGAGCGAACGGGGAGCAGCCCAGAGUCUGAAUCAGCUUGUGUGUUAGUGGAAGCGUCUGGAAAGUCGCACGGUACAGGGUGACAGUCCCGUACACGAAAGCACACAGGCUGUGAACUCGAAGAGUAGGGCGGGACACGUGGUAUCCUGUCUGAAUAUGGGGGGACCAUCCUCCAAGGCUAAAUACUCCUGACUGACCGAUAGUGAACCAGUACCGUGAGGGAAAGGCGAAAAGAACCCCGGCGAGGGGAGUGAAAAAGAACCUGAAACCGUGUACGUACAAGCAGUGGGAGCCUCUUUAUGGGGUGACUGCGUACCUUUUGUAUAAUGGGUCAGCGACUUAUAUUCUGUAGCAAGGUUAACCGUAUAGGGGAGCCGAAGGGAAACCGAGUCUUAACUGGGCGUUAAGUUGCAGGGUAUAGACCCGAAACCCGGUGAUCUAGCCAUGGGCAGGUUGAAGGUUGGGUAACACUAACUGGAGGACCGAACCGACUAAUGUUGAAAAAUUAGCGGAUGACUUGUGGCUGGGGGUGAAAGGCCAAUCAAACCGGGAGAUAGCUGGUUCUCCCCGAAAGCUAUUUAGGUAGCGCCUCGUGAACUCAUCUUCGGGGGUAGAGCACUGUUUCGGCUAGGGGGCCAUCCCGGCUUACCAACCCGAUGCAAACUACGAAUACCGAAGAAUGUUAUCACGGGAGACACACGGCGGGUGCUAACGUCCGUCGUGAAGAGGGAAACAACCCAGACCGCCAGCUAAGGUCCCAAAGUCAUGGUUAAGUGGGAAACGAUGUGGGAAGGCACAGACAGCCAGGAUGUUGGCUUAGAAGCAGCCAUCAUUUAAAGAAAGCGUAAUAGCUCACUGGUCGAGUCGGCCUGCGCGGAAGAUGUAACGGGGCUAAACCAUGCACCGAAGCUGCGGCAGCGACGCUUAUGCGUUGUUGGGUAGGGGAGCGUUCUGUAAGCCGUUGAAGGUGUCCUGUGAGGGGUGCUGGAGGUAUCAGAAGUGCGAAUGCUGACAUAAGUAACGAUAAAGCGGGUGAAAAGCCCGCUCGCCGGAAGACCAAGGGUUCCUGUCCAACGUUAAUCGGGGCAGGGUGAGUCGACCCCUAAGGCGAGGCCGAAAGGCGUAGUCGAUGGGAAACAGGUUAAUAUUCCUGUACUUGGUGUUACUGCGAAGGGGGGACGGAGAAGGCUAUGUUAGCCGGGCGACGGUUGUCCCGGUUUAAGCAUGUAGGCGGAGGUUCCAGGUAAAUCCGGUUCCUUGUUAACGCUGAGGUGUGAUGACGAGGCACUACGGUGCUGAAGUAACAAAUGCCCUGCUUCCAGGAAAAGCCUCUAAGCAUCAGGUAACAUCAAAUCGUACCCCAAACCGACACAGGUGGUCAGGUAGAGAAUACCAAGGCGCUUGAGAGAACUCGGGUGAAGGAACUAGGCAAAAUGGUGCCGUAACUUCGGGAGAAGGCACGCUGAUAUGUAGGUGAAGCCCCUGCGGGUGGAGCUGAAAUCAGUCGAAGAUACCAGCUGGCUGCAACUGUUUAUUAAAAACACAGCACUGUGCAAACACGAAAGUGGACGUAUACGGUGUGACGCCUGCCCGGUGCCGGAAGGUUAAUUGAUGGGGUUAGCGGUAACGCGAAGCUCUUGAUCGAAGCCCCGGUAAACGGCGGCCGUAACUAUAACGGUCCUAAGGUAGCGAAAUUCCUUGUCGGGUAAGUUCCGACCUGCACGAAUGGCGUAAUGAUGGCCAGGCUGUCUCCACCCGAGACUCAGUGAAAUUGAACUCGCUGUGAAGAUGCAGUGUACCCGCGGCAAGACGGAAAGACCCCGUGAACCUUUACUAUAGCUUGACACUGAACACUGGUCCUUGAUGUGUAGGAUAGGUGGGAGGCUUUGAAGCGUGGACGCCAGUCUGCGUGGAGCCAACCUUGAAAUACCACCCUUUAAUGGCUGGUGUUCUAACGUAGACCCGUAAUCCGGGUUGCGGACAGUGUCUGGUGGGUAGUUUGACUGGGGCGGUCUCCUCCCAAAGAGUAACGGAGGAGCACGAAGGUUAGCUAAUCCUGGUCGGACAUCAGGAGGUUAGUGCAAUGGCAUAAGCUAGCUUGACUGCGAGAGUGACGGCUCGAGCAGGUGCGAAAGCAGGUCAUAGUGAUCCGGUGGUUCUGAAUGGAAGGGCCAUCGCUCAACGGAUAAAAGGUACUCCGGGGAUAACAGGCUGAUACCGCCCAAGAGUUCAUAUCGACGGCGGUGUUUGGCACCUCGAUGUCGGCUCAUCACAUCCUGGGGCUGAAGUAGGUCCCAAGGGUAUGGCUGUUCGCCAUUUAAAGUGGUACGCGAGCUGGGUUUAGAACGUCGUGAGACAGUUCGGUCCCUAUCUGCCGUGGGCGCUGGAGAAUUGAGGGGGGCUGCUCCUAGUACGAGAGGACCGGAGUGGACGCAUCACUGGUGUUCGGGUUGUCAUGCCAAUGGCACUGCCCGGUAGCUAAAUGCGGAAGAGAUAAGUGCUGAAAGCAUCUAAGCACGAAACUUGCCCCGAGAUGAGUUCUCCCUGAGACUUUAAGUCUCCUGAAGGAACGUUGAAGACUACGACGUUGAUAGGUCGGGUGUGUAAGCGCAGCGAUGCGUUGAGCUAACCGAUACUAAUGAACCGUGAGGCUUAACCUUACAACGCCGAAGGUGUUU